GCCCGGGUUCAUGGGUUCAGAUCCCAGGCGUGGACCUACCGCACUCAUCAGCCAUGCUGAGGAGGCAUCCAACAUAUAAAUUUGAGGAAGAUUGGCACAGUUGUUAGCUCAGGGCUAAUCUUCCUCAGCAAAAAAAAAAAAAGGGCAUAGCGAUUGAACAAUGAAAAUGAGUAUAUAAGUAAUAAACAACGAUUUAAAAGUGAACAAAUACAGUUUGCACAUAAAAUAUAAUGUGAAUAUGAUGAAGGUUUAUUGUGCUCAUUUUUUUCCUUCUUUCCACAUCAUUUUCUUCAUCAAUUUUUCAACAUUUUGGGGGUUCAGGGUCAUCUUGCACUCAAACUGCACUUGAAAAUAAAGUUAUAACACAGAAAAACACCCUCCAGGCAAAAUAAAAGCUAAAUCAGAGAGCAGUUCAAAAUGCGGAAAUAGCACACACAUGCAGUUGCUGGACAGUCAUGAGAAGGUGCUAUUUCUUCACCCCUGGCACUUGCAUCCAUCCACAAAGCAAAGCAUUAUGGGUUUAUACAAACAGUGUGUGUAAUUCAAAUUCAACCGAUAUGACACACUCUGACUAGAAACUACUAUGUUGAAUACAUUGGCAAGUGCAUUUUUGCCUAGAACCAUAAUAUAAAAAUAUCACUUUUUACAAAUGCAUUUAUGUAAUGUGUAUACAAGUGAAUAAGUCAUUAUACACACACCAAAAAAGGGAGGCCAAAAGGAGGUGUAAUUUUCCAAAAGCCAUUAAGGGUGAAAAGCCUUUAACUAAGGAAUUAUUAUAUGUCUGUAUUUUAAAGUCAGAAUUAUUCAGAAACAGUUAAAAAUAAAGACUAUCACACAGAAAUAUAUAAUUCUGGCUUCUCCUGAGAAAGUGGAUGAUCUCAGUUCACUGGUCUCCAAGUUCUUGCACAGCCACAACUGACCAGAUCCCCACCAGGCCCACUUCACUCAUUUCUAUGUCUUGCCUGGUCCCUCUAGACACCCUCAGUCUGGGGAUCCUAUUUCAUUUGACCAUUUAUUCCAACGCUCCUACAUGUGCAGGCUACCUUCCCACAUAACCUGCAUUCCACAGAAGGACUUGGGCUCCAAAAACAAUGAGCUCUUCCAGGAUAGACGCCUUGCAGGGCAUCGGGCCCAAGGGAAAGAAAAUCGGGCAGUUUGGGAGCAGCUAUGAUGACAAGCUACUGCCUGGGCCGGGUGAACAGGGAAGAUCUGGAGUCUAGAAGUUCUGCAUGCCCCCUGCUCCUGUCAGCACUCCAUACCUUGGACUGUGAAUAUUCUAGUGCAUGUCUUUUCUCCUCUGUUAAACUCUAGGUUUCUUUUAUAUCUAUUCUCUGCCACCCCCAUCCUCCCCACGCUCCCACUGACCACCACACAUGCACAUAGAGCUCCUCCUAGCACAAUGCUACACGUUCAAGAUGGGAGUAGGGUAAUCUUAUUAUUAAACCCUCACCUUCGGUGUUCCCUCCUGCAGAAGCUCCAGUGCAGGAAUAGUAGCUAGAUGGGAACCAGAGUGCGCCAAAGCUGUGGUAAACUGUGCUGAGAACCUGCUUAAAUUACUACCCAUCCAGUAGAGACGUCAGGACUGGAGAGAGGUCCACCAUCUCUGCCGGCCACAGAGGCAGAGCCUAUACAGAAGGGUUUCCCACAUGGGAGCAGGAAGUGCUAAAGAACAGGGGAAGCUUCUGUCUCUAUAGCUCUCCCCUCCCGCAGGGAAAACACGGCCCAGUGAAAACCCUAGACUCCGGUCCAUCAUGGUAUUAGCUCCCUUUCCCCGGGAGCAGAAUCUAGGAAGUGGGUAACGGAAGGGUGGGAGUAUCCCUUCCCAGUGAUAGGUACUCAAGAGACUUGACUAAUAUUUGUUUAGGCAGCCCAGGCAUUGUUAUCCCCAUCGUGCUGGAGAAACUGAGGCCCCAAGAUGUCAUGUGAUAUGUUCGAGCCUGGAAAUGUAGAACUGGACUAAAAUCUAGGUAUUUUGACUCAAAUUCUCCAUCCAGAGCAUAGAAGUACUAAGUGGUGCCACUGCUACAAGGUCUGUCCACAAGAUUCGGACCAUUUCACUAAACGUAUCGGGAGGUCAUAUGUGGAGGGUCUGGAAACAGGUCUAAUUUUCUUCACCAGCCUCUCUGACCCCCGUUCUUCCCAGGUGUGUGGUGCUUGUUGUUCCUGAAGGACAGCAUCUGGGAUCAUCUUUCAGUCACAGGAAUGUUCUCAACAUUGACUGCACCUUGGGUUCACCUGGGGAGUUUAACACAUAUUGAUUCCAUCGCUGCACUCCUGAAGAUCCCGGUUGAAUCAUCUGGGUGCAGCCCGGCAGCAGGAGUUCUCAAAGCUGCCCGGGUCAUUCUACUGUGGAGCCAGCACUGAGCGGCACAGCGGCAAACUCUCCCCUAGGCUGAGGCUGCACCACUUGCUGAGAAAGUCCUGGCUUUCCCGGGGGCAAGGAGAGUUAAUGCCCCUUUCCUACCACCCAGGCCACACAGGGAACUGGGAGCUGAUUCCUGUUCCUGAAUGUUAAGGCUUCACUUGCCAAAUCCAAGGACCCUGU
rnacentral:lncRNA from 1 species